rnacentral:rRNA from 1 species
UACGUAGGGGGCAAGCGUUGUCCGGAAUCAUUGGGCGUAAAGAGCGUGUAGGCGGUCCGAUAAGUCGGUUGUGAAAGUCAAGGGCUCAACCCUUGAAUGCCGACCGAUACUGUCGGCUAGAGUCCGGAAGAGGCGAGUGGAAUUCCUGGUGUAGCGGUGAAAUGCGCAGAUAUCAGGAGGAACACCAAUGGCGAAGGCAGCUCGCUGGGACGGUACUGACGCUGAGACGCGAAAGCGUGGGGAGCAAACAGG